AAAGCAUACGCCUUUCGGCUAAGGUCAAGUGUAAUAUCUGUUCUUAUUAGUUUAAUAUCUGAAACGUGGGCAAUCGAUUCACGUGAUAUUAAAUUAAGUUUUCAAGGGGAGAGGCGCUGCAGUAGCUUGCUACUGAGCCUUGCCACUGGCCCUCUUGUGCGUCGCUCAGGCGUUGCACCGUUGCCCUCGUCUGCGCACCCCAC